rnacentral:rRNA from 1 species
GACGAACGCUGGCGGCGUGCUUAACACAUGCAAGUCGAACGGAAAGGCCCUGCUUUUGUGGGGUGCUCGAGUGGCGAACGGGUGAGUAACACGUGAGUAACCUGCCCUUGACUUUGGGAUAUCUUCAGGAAACUGGGGCUAAUACCGGAUAGGAGCUCCUGCUGCAUGGUGGGGGUUGGAAAGUUUCGGCGGUUGGGGAUGGACUCGCGGCUUAUCAGCUUGUUGGUGGGGUAGUGGCUUACCAAGGCUUUGACGGGUAGCCGGCCUGAGAGGGUGACCGGCCACAUUGGGACUGCGAUACGGCCCAGACUCCUACGGGAGGCAGCAGUGGGGAAUAUUGCACAAUGGGCGGAAGCCUGAUGCAGCAACGCCGCGUGCGGGAUGACGGCCUUCGGGUUGUAAACCGCUUUCGCCUGUGACGAAGCGUGAGUGACGGUAAUGGGUAAAGAAGCACCGGCUAACUACGUG